GACGUAGGGAGCGAGCGUUGUCCGGAUUCAUUGGGCGUAAAGAGCGCGCAGGCGGUUUGGUAAGUCGGAUGUGAAAACCCGGGGCUCAACCCCGGGCGUGCAUCUCGAUACUGCCCGACUAGAGGUAGGUAGGGGAGAUCGGAAUUCCUGGUGUAGCGGUGAAAUGCGCAGAUAUCAGGAGGAACACCGACGGCGAAGGCAGGUCUCUGGGCAUUAACUGACGCUGAGGAGCGAAAGCAUGGGGAGCGAACAGG
rnacentral:rRNA from 1 species